rnacentral:misc_RNA from 1 species
AGAGACUAGCAGAGAAAGAGAAAGAAAUGGGAGGAGGAUGAACAGAAAUUGAAGAGCAGCGGCGUAUGACGUCUUCAUAGACAUACAUAGCACAAGUUCUACUUGUCAGAAAUGAAUGGUAUAUUCAAAGGAGGGCCCUGCGGUAUGGAUACAUCUUCCGUGAGAGUUCUACCAAGAAGUUCUUGGAUGGUCAUGAUUUUUUU